CCUCUGGUGGUCCAACGGUUAGGACUCAGCAGUUUCACUGCCAAGGGCCCAGGUUCAACCCCUGGCCAGGGAA
rfam:Ovis aries breed Texel chromosome 3, whole genome shotgun sequence.